GCACAGUGAUAUAAUUUCAACAUAUCGGCUUUUGCAAAAGCCGGACAACAUGCAACACAUACGAUCAUAGUUACACAUAGGAAAACUGUAUACAAAUUUAAAUUUACACAGGUAGUUGACUUUUUCACUGGCAGUCAAGGGUUUUUCCUUUUCUUUUUUAAAAACAACUUAAAAUGAACUUUAGUCAUGACUUGCCAAACCACACGUUUUUAUUGUGUAACACAUCUGCCUUAGAAUUCACAGUACUGGCUUCCCGUGCAAAUACUCCCUUUUUCGCACUCGUAACCUUUGAGUUGCGUUAGUAUUGCCUGGAGUUGUCACACACCUUUCAUCCCCUCUUACUUUUUAUCGUAGGUGUGUUGUUAUACUUCUGAUUGCUAACUAAGUGUACCAUUAUACUCAUAUACUAACUCAGGACCAGUGUCUACUCCCCAUGAGUAACGUGCUUUCCUCUCUGUGCGCUUUUUGGACCCCCCGGGAAGGCACCGGUAGAGCAUACCUCAGCCCCCCUGGCAUGUUUGCCGUACUCCACCAUUCACGCAGCAGAGUAGAAAGAAAGUUUAAAGAAGACCUCUGAUGGGAAGUAUAAUUUAAAAUUUUAAAGGUAUUAGUUUUAAUGCCCUCCUUCACUAUUAUUAAUCUCGGGGGGGUUGGGGGGUAGGUAGGGUUACUUAGAUUAAUCAAGACCCCUAGCCACCUAGGGAGGUGGACACUGGACAAUGUUAUGUCCAACCCCCCUUGAAUAUUAUUAGAGACCCACCACCCAUGGGUGGGGCUUAGGGGAAUCUAGGCCCUCCCCCUUGAAUAUAAUUAGAGCCCUAAUCGUCCAAAAAUGAUAUUAUAAUAGCCCCCACCCACCGCCCAUGGGUGGGCGCUGAGAUGGGGGCAUUAUGUCUUAUUUUUUCACAUUAAAUUCUCUGCGCUUGGUUAAUAAGCGACUACCCCUAUGGCUUAACUAUGGUGCUUGGAAUUUAAAGGGAUCAGCACUCCUGCUAAUGUUGCAAAGAGAACGCUUAAAUGAAAGCACCUGGGUAUGGAUGGGUAAUUAAAUAGAAAUACAGCUCUCCUUAACAUUUCACAUGUUAGAUGAAAAUUAGCUUGUUGGCUUGCAGGCACUUGUAGCAGCUUUUAGUGGGAGCUUCUCAAGGGGUGAGCGGCCAAUAUAUCUUCAUGAAGAACUUUGCCUCCCAUUUGUGAAGCUCACCAUCUGCCAGGCUCUAAAAUAAGCAGAGAAAAGAUGAUUAGUUACUUGUAAAAGUCAUAGAAAC